rnacentral:rRNA from 1 species
AUACGUAGGGGGCGAGCGUUGUCCGGAAUGAUUGGGCGUAAAGGGCGCGUAGGCGGCCCGGUAAGUCUGGAGUGAAAGUCCUGUUUUUAAGAUGGGAAUUGCUUUGGAUACUGUCGGGCUUGAGUGCAGGAGAGGUAAGUGGAAUUCCCAGUGUAGCGGUGAAAUGCGUAGAGAUUGGGAGGAACACCAGUGGCGAAGGCGACUUUCUUGACUGUAACUGAAGCUGAGUCGCGAAAGUGUGGGGAUCAAACCGGAUUCGAUACCCGGGGAUCCCACACUGUAAACGAUGAAUGCUAGGUGGACGGGGUAUCGACCCCUGCUGUGCCGUAGUCAACACAAUAAGCAUUCCGCCUGGGGAGUACGGCCGCAAGGUUGAAACUCAAAUGAAUUGGCGGGU